rnacentral:lncRNA from 1 species
GUUGAGGGGUCUCUUUAUAUUUUUAUCUAUAGUUUUUUUUUAAAAAAAGAUAACAUGUAAUUCGUUUCGUUAAAUUUUUUUUAAAAAAUAAAUUUAGCUGAAGAUGUAAAGUAAUUAAAUUUUAAAAUUAGAAUUUUAAAUAUUAAUUAUUAAAUUCUUUAUCACUUGCCGUAGGGAUCAUCGGGCAUUCGAUGGUUUUGGGAUUAUUAUUUUAAGCAUGCGAUUAUUUUUUAUUUUUUAUUUU